rnacentral:rRNA from 1 species
UGCUGCAUGGCUGUCGUCAGCUCGUGUCGUGAGUAUGGUUGGGUUAAGUCCCGCAACGAGCGCAACCUUGUCAUUAGUUGCCAUCAUUUGGUUGGGCACUCUAAUGAGACUGCCGGUGACAAACCGGAGGAAGGUGGGGAUGACGUCAAGUCCUCAUGGCCCUUAUGGGUAGGGCUUCACACGUCAUACAAUGGUCGGUACAGAGGGUUGCCAACCCGCGAGGGGGAGCUAAUCCCACAAAGCCGAUCGUAGUCCGGAUCGCAGUCUGCAACUCGACUGCGUGAAGUCGGAAUCGCUAGUAAUCGUGGAUCAGCAUGUCACGGUGAAUACGUUCCCGGGUCUU